CCUACGGGGGGCAGCAGUGAGGAAUAUUGGUCAAUGGGCGGAAGCCUGAACCAGCCAAGUCGCGUGAGGGAAUAAGGCCCUACGGGUCGUAAACCUCUUUUGCCGGGGAGCAAGGGCGGGGACGUGUCCCGGCCCGGAGAGUACCCGGAGAAAAAGCAUCGGCUAACUCCGUGCCAGCAGCCGCGGUAAUACGGAGGAUGCGAGCGUUAUCCGGAUUUAUUGAGUUUAAAGGGUGCGCAGGCGGUCUGUUAAGUCAGCGGUCAAAGCACGGGGCUCAACCCCGGCCCGCCGUUGACACUGGCAGU
rnacentral:rRNA from 1 species